rnacentral:rRNA from 1 species
AUUGAACGCUGGCGGCAGGCCUAACACAUGCAAGUCGAGCGGAUGAAGGGAGCUUGCUCCUGGAUUCAGCGGCGGACGGGUGAGUAAUGCCUAGGAAUCUGCCUGGUAGUGGGGGAUAACGUCCGGAAACGGGCGCUAAUACCGCAUACGGCCUGAGGGAGAAAGUGGGGGAUCUUCGGACCUCACGCUAUCAGAUGAGCCUAGGUCGGAUUAGCUAGUUGGUGGGGUAAAGGCCUACCAAGGAGACGAUCCGUAACUGGUCUGAGAGGAUGAUCAGUCACACUGGAACUGAGACACGGUCCAGACUCCUACGGGAGGCAGCAGUGGGGAAUAUUGGACAAUGGGCGAAAGCCUGAUCCAGCCAUGCCGCGUGUGUGAAGAAGGUCUUCGGAUUGUAAAGCACUUUAAGUUGGGAGGAAGGGCAGUAAGUUAAUACCUUGCUGUUUUGACGUUACCAACAGAAUAAGCACCGGCUAACUUCGUG